ACCUAAAACUCUCUUAGCGGCAACUAAAAAAUUGUAUGUGAUGAGCGGGAAAAGGAGGGAGGACAAGACCGGCUAUUCUCUUAUUAACAUUUUGUUUGAUUCCUAUUAUGAUCGUAUUCUUAAUCGAAGCAUCGCAUAUGAACCUUAGCGACAUCAGUCGGUUAUGGAUUCAUCUACAAUACCAUCUCGUUUUUGAAUUUUGGAUCCAUUGUUUACAUCAUGACCCGACCAAGACAUGUUUUCUUAGUUGAUUAUGUCUGUUCUGCAAUCGCUGUUGGACAACCAGAGUCUGCUACUAAGCUUCGCACUUGCAAUUGAUUUAUUGAAUCAGCGAUUAGGGAGAGCCGGAGACCGACAAACAAAUAGUCCUUGUUCAAGAUUUCAAUUGUGCAUUACAAGAUAUUUUUAUACUUCAAGGUUGUUUGGUACUCGAAGGGUAAUUACCCGAUGAAUACCCAACUGGUUUUGCGUUAGAUAUGGUUUAUAACCAGGUAUGAGUAUGACCCAACUGGUUUUGCGUUGGAUAUGGUUUAUAACCAGGUAUGAGUAUGGGCAGGAGCGGUUCUUAGAAGUGUAGUAGCAAGGCCACGGCCCGGGUCAUAUGUACCUGUCAACUCAUCACAUAUGCUUCUACAUAUACUUAUUUGGAUUUGAGACAGAAUGUCAUGCUAUGAUCAGAUUGUAUUUCAUAGAAUUCUAUGCAAUUGGGAUGCGGAAGAAAGUUGGAUAUCUAAAGAAGCGACUACAAUAUAUAUAUGAUGAAGCCGAGAAACUAGCAUACUAUGGAAUCAAUGAGCGACAAGUCCAUUAUGGAGAAUGGAGUUGGACGAAGCUCUAUUUGCUUACAUGGGUGGGGGUUGAUCCAAUUAGCUAUUGAUGAUAACAAAAUGAGUACUACUAAAUAAGCAAAGUGUCCUACUUACGACGAGCUAGUGGAUGCACUUCAAACACC